ACCAGGGGCCACCUAGGUUUCCAAUCGGCUCUCCCUUGGAUAGUUUGACGCCGAUUUGGUGCAGCAUGUGAUAGGCCGAUCCCAGUAGAUGCUUCCCGAGGGGGACAGAGGCUCCUCUUGAUAAUGCUUUGGCCAAAGCUUGUGUGUUGGAAGACAGGCUGACUGCCCUGCCACAGAAAAGGUGUUUCUCCAACCACAUCAUCAUCAAGGCCACAUAUUCUCUCUCUAAAAUGGCCCCG
rnacentral:lncRNA from 1 species